AUUGAACGCUGGCGGCAUGCCUUACACAUGCAAGUCGAACGGCAGCAUAGGAGCUUGCUCCUGAUGGCGAGUGGCGAACAGGUGAGUAAUAUAUCGGAACGUGCCCUAGAGUGGGGGAUAACUAGUCGAAAGACUAGCUAAUACCGCAUACGAUCUACGGAUGAAAGUGGGGGAUCGCAAGACCUCAUGCUCCUGGAGCGGCCGAUAUCUGAUUAGCUAGUUGGUGGGGUAAAAGCUCACCAAGGCGACGAUCAGUAGCUGGUCUGAGAGGACGGCCAGCCACACUGGGACUGAGACACGGCCCAGACUCCUGCGGGAGGCAGCAGUGGGGAAUUUUGGACAAUGGGGGCAACCCUGAUUCAGCAAUGCCGCGUGAGUGAAGAAGGCCUUCGGGUUGUAAAGCUCUUUUGUCAGGGAAGAAACGGUUCUGGAUAAUACCUGGGACUAAUGACGGUACCUGAAGAAUAAGCACCGGCUAACUACGUGCCAGCCGCCGCGGUAAGAC
rnacentral:rRNA from 1 species